rnacentral:lncRNA from 1 species
CCCCACCUGAGUCUGCGCUGACGAUUUCCUGGGCUUAUCUGGAUCUUCCUGCAGAAAGUCAGUCUUAUGUGACCCUGUACAACCUCCUGGACUUUCCCGCGGGCGUGGUGCCUGUCACUAUCGUGACACUACAGGACGAGGAGGAACUGGCCUUCUACAAGGGGUGCUACGGAGAUAGUUCUGACAAAAAUUUCUCAGAGGUGUACCCACCCCAGUGUGUGCCACCCUCAGGAGCCCCUGGCAGGACCAAGACUCAGGGUCCUCAUUGUGGGCCUCUGCAGCUUGUGGAAGCCACCAUAUAAAGAAGUCCAGGCUAUACUCCUAGAGGCCACAUGCAAGAGAACUGAGGCAUCCCAGCUGACAGCCAGCACCAACUGCCGGGCAUGUGAGUGAACUUUCCUAGAAUACGACCCUCCAGCUCCCAUCAAUCAAGACUGAAGAUGAUAUAGCCCUGGACAGUGCGGCUUGACUGCAGCCUCAUGAGACACCCAGAGUCAGACCACCCAGCUAAGCUGCUCCUGGAUUUCUGACCCUCAGAAACUAUGAUACAAUAAAUAUUUGUUGCAAGCCACUAA